rnacentral:tRNA from 2 species
GCGCCUAUAGCUCAGGUGGAUAGAGCAACUGCCUUCUAAGCAGUAGGCCAGGGGUUCGAGUCCCUUUGGGCGCACCA